CACCCUCUCUCUCUCUCUCUAUUCCUUCACUGUUUUGAAAUCUAUAAGUGCUAGAGUAGUGCCCACACACAUCAAGUAAUACCUCAAUCAUAGUGAGGAAGGCUGUGUAGAAUUCAUAAACAACAAAGAAGGACUAUCAAGCUCAGAUCUUGAUUAUACUCUGCUACAGAAAGGAAUCAAGGGUUAGAGAUCUGAGUGGGAGGAGACAUAUAUUCCGCUGCACCCAAUGUAAGAUUUCUGAUACUUUUAUGUGUUUAAUUUUCCAUCGUUUUAGAAGUUCAUAUUUAGGUUGUUAAAUCAACAUACUUGUGAGUAGAUCUAAGUUCCUGGUAAAAUAACUUCCAACAACAAGUUGUCUAAAUAUACUUAGUGGGGGUUGGUUGGUCCGUAUUAUAAUAAUUGUACACAAGUUGCAUUAAAAUGGGUUCUGUCCUUUCACAUGGGAAAACUUAUUAAUUUGACUACACCGAAACUUUAAUUUGUUUCAGCCUUUUGAUAACAGUGUUUGAAAGGAGAGAUAGUCUGCAUUUAUUAAGUUAGUUUUCUCAACUUCGAUAAAGACUAUACUUCAUUACAUUUCUAUCUAUCUACCUAUCUUUUUAACUGGAAAUUAUUACUUGCAUUUGCUUGGCUUAACCUAAUGAUAUGUAUGUACAUUAUAGCUUUAUCAUCAGCUUCCAACUUAGAAAUAAGAUGAACAUGAAUACAGAACGCUUUUCAUCACAAAGGGUAGAUGAGCAGUAUUAUUUUAGUGCUUAAGUUUGUCCUCAUUCUUUGCUUCCUUGAAAUUACACAUGCCCAUUUUAUUGAUAAAUGAUUCUUAUAUUGAGAAAAUUAUUGUGCAGAUUUUUAUUUUGUUAGAGACAAGACAAUGAUUGUAAUUUUUUUUUCUUAAUUUUAUUGUUACUUUGUUGGAAUGGGAUUGGAUUGGAUUAGUUUAUGCUUGAAUGUGUUAGUGAGCUUUAUAUAUUGAUAUCUAACACUUGUUGCCAACACUUGAGUAUGCUUCAUUAGUUUGCAUUAGUUUGUAACUUUUUAAAUUAAUUUUAUUAUUUUUUUUACAUAAGUUUUAGAAUUAGUUUUAUAAUUACAUGUAGAUUGAAUAGAUGACAGGAACAAAUAGUGAGGUGGUUAUUAUUAAUAAUAGCGAAGCUUCUGUUUGGCCUGAAAAACAUGAAGAAAUUUGUAUUGAACUUAUGGAAGAAGAAGUUUUGAAUGGAAAUAGGAAUACUACAACCUUUACAAAGCAAUCAUAGAAGCGUAUAAAGGAGGAGCUUUAUGCACAAGCGAAGAGAAGUUACACUGAUACGCAAUUAAGGAACAAAUACAAUAUGUUAAGAUAAAAGCACAAGGAUUUCAAGUCUUUACUGAAAGAGACUGGCAUAGGAUUUAGUGUAGUGACUGGACAAGUUACUGCGCCAGAUGAAGUGUGGGAUAGGCUUAUUCGGGUAAAAAAUAUUUUCAAAUGAAAACUUAUUGCUUGAUUUUUAAUAAGUGUUGGUAUAUUUAUCAUUAUUAUUUUAUUUUAUGUAGGUUAACAAGUCAGCUAAAAAAUUUAGAAAAAAGGGUUGUGUACUUUAUGGAAAGUUAUGCGUUAUUUUUGGUGAUACCACUGCAACUGGUUCCAAUGCUCAUCCUUCAACUCGGAGUCCUUCCAUAAAUAUUGAUAAUGAUGAUGAUGAUGCUAUGUCAAAGAGUCCAUAUAUUAGGAAUCAAGAAAGUAGUUUUGAUGAGGAUGGUAGCAAAAGAAGAGGUAAAUCAAAUUCCACUACGAGUUCUCGAUCAGAAAAAAAAAGCAAAGUUCUCAGUCGCAUUAGCAGAAACAUUAACAGUGUAUAAUGAAACCGCAAAGCGAAAGAUGGAAGUGUAUGAGAAUUCAAUGACAUCGACAAAACACCACUUAUUUGAUGAGUGUAUCGAAGCUCUCAAUCAAAUUGAUGGAAUUAGUGGAGAAGUAUAUGCAAAGGCUAUUGAGAAAUUUGAGAGCGAGGUGUCUAGAGCAUUAUUUCUAAAGAUGCCAGAACAUAGAAGAAUUGAUUGGUUGAACUAUUUGAAGUGAUUUUUUUCACUUUGUUUAACCUUUACACUUUAUAAUUGUUGGGAUUUAUGAAUAACUUAGUUUGUAUGACUUUGUUUGUAAGGAUGACUUUGUUUGUAUGAAUGACUUGUUAGUAAUUUACUUUAGCUAUCUCCUUUUAUCUACAAUGUUAUUAUUAUUUUUUAUUAUAUAUUUUGUCUCCAAAUGUCUCCAGGAUAAUGUCUACAAUUGGGGCACCAUUCAACAAAAAUAAUCUACUUCUUGACGAUUCAGACGAUGAGUUUGGAGAGUUAUUAAUUUUAUUUGCUUGCGUGGAGUACAAUCAAUUAUAUCUAACUAAGGAACCGUGUAAAAAUUCGGCCCUUUCAGGACAUGAGUAUGUAAUGGAAGUAUUGCAUGGUCACGAUAGUAGGUGUUAUGAUUUAUUCAUAAUGGAUAAGGACGUCUUCAAACUAUUUUGUGGUGUUCUAAAAGAAAAAAAUUUAUUGAAGAACUCUCGCUAUCUUUCUGUUGAGGAGCAAGUUGCUAUGUUCUUAUUUGUCAUUGUACAUAAUGAACGACAUCGUGUAGUUGCUGAGCGAUUUCAACACUCCACCUCAACUACAUCUGAAUACUUUAGGAAAGUUUUGAAGGCGGUAUGUCGUUUAUCCAAAGAGUUAAUUAGUCCACCUUUGUUUGAUGUAGUUCCUUCAGAAAUUCGAUUCAAUCCAAAAUAUUAUCCAUUGUUCAAGGUAAAAAAAUUUAUACUAUCUCUUUUAUUAUUAUUUUAAAAUCUAAUAAAUAAAGAAAGAACAAAAGCCAUUAAUUUGUUUUUUAUUUUCAGAAUUGUGUAGGAGCUAUAGAUGGGACACAUAUCUCUACUCAUGUCCCCAUUAAUGAACAAAUACCAUAUCGAGGUCGGAAGGUGGAUACAACUCAAAACGUCAUGUGUAUAUGUUCAUUUGACAUGAAGUUCACAUAUGUUGUAGCGGGAUGGGAAGGAUCAGCUAAUGAUGCACGAAUUCUUUCAGAAUGUGCCACAAACCCAGAUUAUGAAUUCCCAGCUCCACCCAAUGGAAAAUAUUAUCUUGUUGAUUCUGGAUAUACAAACAUGCCUGGUUUUAUUUCCCCAUAUCGAGGAGAAAGAUAUCAUUUGAAUUAAUAUACAGAUCGCAAUCCUUCAGGAAAAAGGGAGUUGUUCAAUUAUCGACAUUCGUCUUUGAGAAAUGUCAUCGAGUGGUGCUUUGGCGUAUUGAAGGCUCACUUUCCUAUUUUAAAGCAAAUGCCUUCCUAUGAUCUAAAAAUACAGAAGUACAUUGUGAUUGCCUGUUGUGGAAUUCAUAAUUUUAUAAGGACAAAUGCAGAAAAAGACGUAUAUUUUGAUGGAGAUGAAGACAUUCCUGAAGUACAAGAUGCUACUAUACAAAGCACCCACGAAACUUUGAAUAAUAGUGUUGAGUUUAACAUUUCAAGAGAUCAACUUCGUGAAAUGGCUAAUGUCCGUGAUGAAAUUGCUGAUCAUAUAUGGAGAGCAAAUCGACGAUGAAGAUAAUGAGUGAAGAUUAUUAACAAUUAGAACUUUUUUAAUAGUUUUCUUCAAGAUUAGACAAUUAUUAGUUCAUAUUUUAUUAUGACUUUAUCAGUUUUGUGUUAUAGAUAAUGAGUUUCGUGAUUUUAAUUUACUUGAAUUUUUUUAAGA